rnacentral:rRNA from 1 species
AUGGCCAUAUCAAAAGCUUUGGUCCUUGGCAUCCUCAGAUGCCUAUACUUUUGUAGUUCGAUCUUAGCAGCUCACGAGCUUGAUGAUGGCUUGUCGAUGGUGGCAAGGCACGAGAGUUGGAUGGUGCAGUACAACCGUGUGUACAAGGAUGCUGUUGAGAAGGCACAUCGAUUUGAUGUGUUCAAGGCCAAUCUCGGGUUCAUCGAGUCGUUUAACACUGAGAAAGGGAAGAUCUAUUUGGGCGUCAAUCAGUUCACUAACCUCACCAACGAGGAGUCAAGGACAAAGGCUAACAAGGGGUAUAAACCAAGGUUGGAGAAGGUUCCUACCGGAUUCAGGUAUGAGAAUGUAAGUCUUGACACACUUCCGACAACCAUAGACUGGAGGACCAAAGGUUCAGUCACCCCCAUCAAGGAUCAGGGCCAAUGUUGUUGUUGUUGAGAGUUUUUCACUGUCGCUGCUAUGGAGGGCAUCGUUAAGCUCAAAACUGGCAAGCUUAUCUCGUUGUCAGAGCAAGAGUUGGUGGAUUGUGAUGUCCAGGGUGAAGACCAAGGCUGUGAAGGAGGGCUCAUGGAUGAUGCAUUUAAGUUCAUAAUCAAGAAUGGCGGUCUCACCACUGAGUCCAACUACCCAUAUACGGCGGCAGAUGACAAGUGCAAGAGUGGAACCAACGGUGUCGCAACCAUCAAAAGCUAUGAGGAUGUUCCAACCAACAAAGAGGGAGCCCUCAUGCAAGCCAUCACAAGCCAACCUGUCUGAGUAGCUGUUGAUGGAGGAGAUAUAACGUUCCAAUUUUACAAAGUUGGAGAGAUGACUGGCUCAUGUGGCACUGACCUAGACCAUGGUAUUGCAGCUAUUGGUUAUGGCAAGACUAGCGACGGAAAAAAGUAUUGGUUGUUGAAGAAUUCAUGGGAAACAACAUGGGGUGAGAAUAGAUAUUUAAGAAUGGAGAAGGACAUUCCUGACAAGAGAGGCAUGUGUGGCCUUUCGAUGGAGCCAUCUUACCCCACUGCAUAG